rnacentral:rRNA from 1 species
UGGGGAAUUUUGGACAAUGGGGCAACCUGAUCCAGCAAUGCCGCGUGUGUGAAGAAGGCCUUCGGGUUGUAAAGCACUUUUGUCCGGAAAGAAAACGCCGUGGUUAAUACCCGUGGCGGAUGACGGUACCGGAAGAAUAAGCACCGGCUAACUACGUGCCAGCAGCCGCGGUAAUACGUAGGGUGCAAGCGUUAAUCGGAAUUACUGGGCGUAAAGCGUGCGCAGGCGGUUCCGCUAAGACAGAUGUGAAAUCCCCGGGCUUAACCUGGGAACUGCAUUUGUGACUGGCGGGCUAGAGUAUGGCAGAGGGGGGUAGAAUUCCACGUGUAGCAGUGAAAUGCGUAGAGAUGUGGAGGAAUACCGAUGGCGAAGGCAGCCCCCUGGGCCAAUACUGACGCUCAUGCACGAAAGCGUGGGGGAGCAAACAGGAUU